GGACAGUCCAGGGUUAUUUUCAACAACAACACAUAUGGACAGUCCAGGGUUAUUUUCAACAACACAUAUGGACAGUCCAGGGUUAUUUUCAACAACACAUAUGGACAGUCCAGGGUUAUUUUCAACAACAACAAAAUGAUCACGUGCGGCAAAUACAAAACGUUUAGACAUUACCGUGAAAUGAUUACAAAUGAGAUCUAAAAAAUAGAUAUAAUAACACAAUAAAAUAACAAUAAUGAGUACCGGUACCGAGUCAAUGUGCAGAGUAUGAGGUAAUUGAGGUAAUAUGUACAUGUAGGUAGAGGGAAAAGUGACUAGGCAAUCAGGAUAGAUAAUAAACAGAAUAGCAGCAGUGUCUGUGAAGAGUGUGAAAGAGUGUCUGCAACUAAAUGUAGGUGGCAUCAAUAUUCAUGUGUGAGCCGGAAGUUUACACCUUAGCCAAAUAAAUACUCCGUUUUUCAAAAUGUUUCAGUUUUUCACAAUUUAAUCCUAGUAAAAAGUCACUCUCUAAGGUCAGUUAGGAUCAACACUGAAAGAAUAAUAAUAACAGAGAGAAAGAUUUAUUUCAACUUAUUUAUUUAUUACAUUCUCAGUGGGUCAGAAGUUCACAUACACUCAAUUAGUAUUUGGUAGCAUUGCCUUUAAAUUGUUUAACUUGGGUCAAAUGUUGUGGGUAGCCUUCCACAAGCUUCCCACAAUAAGUUGGGUGAAUUUUGGCCCAUUACUCCUGACAGAGCUGGUGUAACUGAGUCAGGUUUGUAGGCCUCCUUGCUUGCACAUGAUUUUUCACUUCUGGCCACACAUUUGCUAUAGGAUAUUGCUCCCAAGGAUGAACCAGACUUGUGGAGGUCUACAAUUUUUUUCCGAAGUCUUGGCUGAUUUCUUUUGAUUUUCCCAUGAUGUCAAGCAAAGAGGCACUGAGUUUGAAGGUAGGCCUUGAAAUACAUCCACAGGUUCACAUCCAAUUGACUCAAAUUAUGUCAUUUAGCCUAUCAGAAGCUUCUAGAGCAAUGACAUCAUUUUCUGGAAUUUAUAGGCACAGUCAACUUAGUCUAUGUAAACCUUUUACACACUGGAAUUGUGAUACAGUGAAUUAUAAGUGAAAUAAUCUGUCUGUAAACAAUUGUUGGAAAAAUUACUUGUGUCAUGCACAAAGUAGAUGUCCUAACCGACUUUCCAAAGCUAUAGUUUGUCAUCAAGAAAUUUGUGGAGUGGUUGAAAAAAUAUUUUGAAUGACUCCAACCGAAGUCAAUGUAAACUUCCUAAUUCAACUGUAUGUAGAGUGUGAAUGUGUGUGUUGGAGUGUCAGUGUAGUAUUUGUGACUGUGUGGGUAGAGUCCAGUGAGUGUGCAUAGAGCCAGUGCAAGAAUGUCAGUGCAAAAACAACAAAGGAGAUCAAUAGCAGUCUUCUGGCUUGUGGUUAGAAGCUGUUCUGGAGCCUUUUGGUCCCAGACUUGGCAUUCCGGUACCGAUUGCUAUGUGGGAACAGAGUAUGACUUGGUGGUGAUGUACUGGACCGUACGCACUACCCUGUGUAUUGCCUUGCGGUCGUAUGCCAAGCAGUUGCCAUACCAAACAGUGAUGCAGCCAGGCAUAAUGCUCUCAGUGGUGCAGCUGAAUUCCUUUUUGAGCAUCUGAAGGCCCAUGCCAAAUCUUUUCAGCUUCCUGAGGGGGAAGAGGCAAUUUCAUGACCUCUGCACGACUGUGUUGGUGUGUUUGGACCAUGAUAGGUCCUUAGUGAUGUGGACACAGAGGAGCUGAAAGCUCUUGACAUGCUCCAAUACAGCCCUGUCAAUGUGAAUGGGGGCGUGGCUCGGCCCUCCAUUUCCUGUAGUCCACGGUCAGCUCCUUUGUCUUGCUGAUGUUGAGGGAGAGGUUGUUGUACUGGCACCACACUGCCAGGUCUCUGACCUCCUCCCUAUAGGCUGUCUCAUCGUUGUCGGUGACAAGGCCAACCACCGUUGUGCUGUCUGCAAACUUAAUGAUGGUGCUGGGGUCGUGGGUGAACAGGGUGUACAGGAGGGAACUAAGCACACACCCCGGUGGGGCCUCGUGUUGAGGAACAUCCUGGCGGAUGUGUUGUUGCCUACCCUCACCACCUGGGGACGGACCGCCAGGAAGUCCUGGUUCCUGUUGCAGAGGGAGGUGUUCAGUCCCAGGGUCCUUAGUUAGGUGAUGAGCUUGGAGGGAACUAUGGUGUUGAACUCUGAGCGGUAGUCAAUGCACAGAAUUAAGCUUUAAUAUUGCAGAUAAAUCUGCAUCAUAUCCAAUCCCCCAUAUCUAUAUAUGUUUUGUAAAUAUAUACAAUAUAUAAAAUAUGUAUUUAUUUUCCCCUAACCUUACCACUCCUCCGCUAGUUGGAGUAAACUAUUGGACAACAACACUUAGUCUUCUACAUCCAGUUUAUACAUACUAUAUACAUUUUACAGACACAGUAUAUUUGACAAUAGUUAUCUUUUGUUCGUUUUUAGUCCCAUCCUUCAGCUACCCUCAACCCCUCCCAUCUAUCUCUGAACACCAUCCAAUCCCAUCCUUCAGCUCUACUCAACCCCUCCCAUCUAUCUCUGAACACCAUCCAGUCCCAUCCUUCAGCUCCACUCUACCCCUCCCAUCUAUCUCUGAACACCAUCCAGGUCUGAUUUCAAUUUGGCAUAUAUUUUUCAACCUGGCUAUUUCACAAAGUUUUGAGCCUAAAUACAUUUUACGGACACAGUAUAUUUUAAAUUAGUUAUCUCACCCUUCAGCUCCACUCUAUUGCUCCCAUCUAUCUCUGAAAACCAUUCCAUUUUGAUUUCUAUUUGCCUUUGAUUUUUCAACUGUGCUGUGAUGUUUCGAAAAAGUUAUGAACCUUUCUAUUCUCAUAGUUUUCACAGAUAGUAAAUCAAAGAUAAAUAUUUUGGCUAAGAGUGUUAUUAUAUGAUUGCUGAAUUGACUAUGACUUUUUAAAUCACACAGCAGUGCUAUUUGCAGAGUUAGAUCCAGGUAGAUUUUUCAAUUCUUCAGCCAUUCCUGUGACCAAAAACAAGCUACUUAUGGACAAUACCAAAACAAAUUAUCUAAUGACUCUGUCUCUUUGCAGCAAAAUAUGCAGAGCUGGGAUGGUUGAAUCCCCCAUAUAUAUGUAAAUAUAUAUAAAACAUAUAUAUAAAACAUCCUAUUGGCUGCAAGAAUUUUGUAUAAUAAUUAAAAUUAUGUAUCAGUUCAUAAACCAUGUGCCAUGGAAUCGAUACUUCGAAAAUAUUUUCCAAAAUAUUUUGCAAUCUAUAUGACACAGCUGUACAUUGUUUGGUCCUUAAAUGACACUGGUAUACUUUGUUAUUUAUCACAAUUUUAUUUAACCAAUUUUGGUCUUCAAUGCAGGGCAGACAGACAAGUUCUUUACUUUCUCCCUCUUCCACUUGCCUCUUCCAUUUUUGCGGUAAUGCUGCAAUUAGUUGGUUGUAAUUUUGAGUAGAGCAGACAUUUCAAUAUAUUUUUGUUAGCUGCAUGUGUGACAUAACUCCACCAGUCCUAUUUAUGAUACAAUUUACAGAGUUUUCUGAUUUAAAAAAAUUAUAUAUAUAUUUUUAGUUUUUUUAUUGAUUAUUAUAUUUGAGUUCAACCAAAAUAUUUGUUGUAAUAUUUAUUGUAAUAUUUAUUCUCUUUUUUGAUGGAUUAAACUGAAAUUGCAACCAACUUUCAAUGGCUUGUUUUUAAAAAAGCAAUAUUUUGGAGAUGCUUUCAUGUUCAAAUAACCGAAAGUGAGAGGUUGUAAUCUGAAUAAAGG
ensembl:lncRNA